AAGGAUGUACCUGAGCUAGCUCACAACACCUAGGAGAAAGAAGAAACACAAACAGAACUGGAACAGCACGGAGUGUCCCUUUGCAGGCCCAGUCUCCAGCAGCUGAUCUCCUGCCAACUCCACAUGCCUGAGUGAGCUGAGCCAAAAUUAGAAAACUCACCAAGCUGAGCCUGGUCUGCGUCAGCAGAGCUGCACUGACAGACAAUGAGGAAGUGAAACCAGACCACUGAGAUAAUGCAAUUUGUAAACAGGAAAAUUCCACCCAAAUACACAGCACCAUAACAGUAUUUUGUGAAUUUGGGGGUGACCCCAGCUGCGAGCUCAGACAUUGGAACUGACCUGUUGAAGAUGAACCAGAAGAUCUGCAGCCAUCACAAGCCACCACCCACUCCUGCCAUGAUGUGCUGGUGCACCAGAGGCCCAAAGGUAAAGAGGUCAAGAAAAUAUAGACUGGAAUUUCCAAAACUCUGAAC